rnacentral:rRNA from 1 species
AGUGAACGCUGGCGGCAGGCCUAACACAUGCAAGUCGAACGGCAGCACAAGAGAGCUUGCUCUCUGGGUGGCGAGUGGCGGACGGGUGAGGAAUGCAUCGGAAUCUGCCCAUUUGUGGGGGAUAACCUCGGGAAACCGGGACUAAUACCGCAUACGACCUACGGGUGAAAGCAGGGGAUCUUCGGACCUUGCGCAGAUGGAUGAGCCGAUGCCGGAUUAGCUAGUUGGAGGGGUAAAGGCCCACCAAGGCGACGAUCCGUAGCUGGUCUGAGAGGAUGAUCAGCCACACUUGGACUGAGACACGGCCCAGACUCCUACGGGAGGCAGCAGUGGGGAAUAUUGGACAAUGGGCGCAAGCCUGAUCCAGCCAUGCCGCGUGUGUGAAGAAGGCCUUCGGGUUGUAAAGCACUUUUGUUGGGAAAGAAAAGCAGCCGGUUAAUACCCGGUUGUCAUGACGGUACCCAAAGAAUAAGCACCGGCUAACUUCGUG